GAUGAACGCUGGCGGCGUGCUUAAUACAUGCAAGUCGAACGGAGAGUAGCAAUACUCUGAGUGGCGAACGGGUGAGUAACGCGUUGGUACCUGCCCCAAAGCGGGGGAUAACGGGACGAAAGUCUCGCUAAUACCCCAUGUGCUCCGGAAGGAGGAAAGCCGAAAGGCACUUUGGGAGGGGCCUGCGUCCCAUCAGCUGGUUGGUGAGGUAACGGCUCACCAAGGCGAUGACGGGUAGGGGACCUGAGAGGGUGGCCCCCCACAAUGGAACUGAAACACGGUCCAUACACCUACGGGUGGCAGCAGUAGGGGAUAUUGGUAAUGGGCGAAAGCCUGAACCAGCAACGCCGCGUGUGCGAUGAAGGCCUUCGGGUUGUAAAGCACUUUUGACUGGGACGAGGAAGGACGGUAC
rnacentral:rRNA from 1 species